rnacentral:rRNA from 1 species
AACCGUAUAGGGGAGCCGGAGGGAAACCGAGUCUUAAUUGGGCGUUAAGUUGCAGGGUAUAGACCCGAAACCCGGUGAUCUAGCCAUGGGCAGGUUGAAGGUUGGGUAACACUAACUGGAGGACCGAACCGACUAAUGUUGAAAAAUUAGCGGAUGACCUGUGGCUGGGGGUGAAAGGCCAAUCAAACCGGGAGAUAGCUGGUUCUCCCCGAAAGCUAUUUAGGUAGCGCCUCGUGAAUUCAUCUCCGGGGGUAGAGCACUGUUUCGGCUAGGGGGCCAUCCCGGCUUACCAACCCGAUGCAAACUGCGAAUACCGGAGAAUGUUAUCACGGGAGACACACGGCGGGUGCUAACGUCCGUCGUGAAGAGGGAAACAACCCAGACCGCCAGCUAAGGUCCCAAAGUCAUGGUUAAGUGGGAAACGAUGUGGGAAGGCCCAGACAGCCAGGAUGUUGGCUUAGAAGCAGCCAUCAUUUAAAGAAAGCGUAAUAGCUCACUGGUCGAGUCGGCCUGCGCGGAAGAUGUAACGGGGCUAAACCAUGCACCGAAGCUGCGGCAGCGAACGUAUCACCCAAGACAACUUUACGGAGUUGACGAUUGACGGAGCGAAGCGACGUCAAAGCGUUCAUUAAAGUCGAGUUGGCUUAGGGAUACGUUCGUUGGGUAGGGGAGCGUUCUGUAAGCCUGUGAAGGUGUGUCGUGAGGCAUGCUGGAGGUAUCAGAAGUGCGAAUGCUGACAUAAGUAACGAUAAAGCGGGUGAAAAGCCCGCUCGCCGGAAGACCAAGGGUUCCUGUCCAACGUUAAUCGGGGCAGGGUGAGUCGACCCCUAAGGCGAGGCCGAAAGGCGUAGUCGAUGGGAAACGGGUUAAUAUUCCCGUACUUGGUGUUACUGCGAAGGGGGGACGGAGAAGGCUAUGUUGGCCGGGCGACGGUUGUCCCGGUUUAAGCGUGUAGGUGUGUGUUCCAGGUAAAUCCGGUUCACUUUAACACUGAGGCGUGACGACGAGGCACUACGGUGCUGAAGCAACAAAUGCCCUGCUUCCAGGAAAA